GCGUUCUCUACCAUAUGUAAUAUCCAUACUUAGAUAACAUUGUGCAACUUUGUGGGAGAAGGAUUUUCGCAUUUCAUUAUUUCAUUCUUCAUCCUCUAUUUCUCGCACUUCUUUAUUGCCGAUUUAAGCCAAUUUCGACAGCACCGUGAUUAGUUUGUGUUCUGUUUUCUGAUUUUUAUAUUGAUAAUUUGAUAAUUUCACUCCGCAAAAAACUAAAUACCAAAAUGUUUGGAUGUAUUAUCAGAUGUGUGACAAUUGUCAAAAACCGUUAAUAAACGAAAACAAUCUCAAAAUUUUCCGCAUUAGAUUAGGACUUGGUGGAGGUAUACUUGUUAGUGGAGGCGGUUUGUUAGGAGCUUACGCACUACCACUUAUCGGAUUUGGAUCAGCGAGUGUCACCAAAAGAUCUAUCACCACGUGGUUGCAAGGCCCAUCUAUAGAGAUUGCCGUCUCUCCAGAUAAAGAUUGCUUUAAUUUUAUAAAUUGAUUGAUUGUAACUAAAGGCUGGAUCAACUUUUGCGUUAUGUCAAACACUGGGUGCAACUGGAUUAUAUUCUAUACUAUUUAAAUCAACUGGAAGUGUACUUGGAGGUGGAGCUCUUGGAAUGCUCUACAAAAACCGUUUCAAUAAUGGUUGGUGCUCCUGCGAUCAACCGCCUUUAAUGCCAAAUGCGCCAAAUAAGUGCUGAAGGUACUUUCAUCAAAAUUGUAGAAAAUAAAAAGCGAAUAAGGAUUUUUUUCAACUUAUAUCAUACAUUUUCUCACAAAAUUCAAUGUUUAUUAAUUUGAUUUACAUUAUCAAUUUGAUGCAUUGUAUAUAUAAUAAUUUCAUUUCCUGAUUUACUAUAAAGUUAUUUAAGUGCAUAAAUGUAUAAUUCAUAGCUUAUUGUUUGUUAUUAUUGUAAUGACAUAAUUUUAUUUAAUCAUUUUCUUAA